rnacentral:rRNA from 1 species
CCUGAUGCGCCAUGCCGCGUGUGUGAAGAAGGCCUUCGGGUUGUAAAGCACUUUCAGUCGUGAGGAAGGUGGUGAGUUAAUAGCCGCAUCAUUUGACGUUACCGACAGAAGAAGCACCGGCUAACUCCGUGCCAGCAGCCGCGGUAAUACGGAGGGUGCGAGCGUUAAUCGGAAUUACUGGGCGUAAAGCGCAUGCAGGUGGUUUGUUAAGUCAGAUGUGAAAGCCCGGGGCUCAACCUCGGAAUUGCAUUUGAAACUGGCAGACUAGAGUACUGUAGAGGGGGGUAGAAUUUCAGGUGUAGCGGUGAAAUGCGUAGAGAUCUGAAGGAAUACCGGUGGCGAAGGCGGCCCCCUGGACAGAUACUGACACUCAGAUGCGAAAGCGUGGGGAGCAAACAGGAUUAGAUACCCUGGUAGUCCACGCCGUAAACGAUGUCUACUUGGAGGUUGUGGCCUUGAGCCGUGGCUUUCGGAGCUAACGCGUUAAGUAGACCGCCUGGGGAGUACGGUCGCAAGAUUAAAACUCAAAUGAAUUGACGGGGGCCCGCACAAGCGGUGGAGCAUGUGGUUUAAUUCGAUGCAACGCGAAGAACCUUACCUACUCUUGACAUCCAGAGAACUUUCCAGAGAUGGAUUGGUGCCUUCGGGAACUCUGAGACAGGUGCUGCAUGGCUGUCGUCAGCUCGUGUUGUGAAAUGUUGGGUUAAGUCCCGCAACGAGCGCAACCCUUAUCCUUGUUUGCCAGCGAGUAAUGUCGGGAACUCCAGGGAGACUGCCGGUGAUAAACCGGAGGAAGGUGGGGACGACGUCAAGUCAUCAUGGCCCUUACGAGUAGGGCUACACACGUGCUACAAUGGCACAUACAGAGGGCGGACAACUUGCGAGAGUGAGCGAAUCCCAAAAAGUGCGUCAUAUCCGGAUUGGAGUCUGCAACUCGACUCCAUGAAGUCGGAAUCGCUAGUAAUCGUGGAUCAAAGUGCCACGGUGAAUACGUUCCCGGGCCUUGUACACACCGCCCGUCACACCUGGGAGUGGGCUGCAAAAAAGUAGG